CGUCACGCGGCCGCGGGCGCUCGCUUGUGACCAGAAGGCUGGAGUUACGUAAUCUGCCCCUACAGCUAAAAGGACGGAGGCCUGACGGCGUGGCCUGGAGGGACGCGCUGAGCCCCUAAUGGGUGGUGCCUUCCUGGUGCGGCCGCACAGGCGGGGCCGGGCGGAAUCCAAGCACGAUGUGGACACGGAGCCUUGGGAAUGAACAGGAGCCUGCCUGUGGGAGCAUGUGGGAAAGGUUCAACUCAGGAAUGUUUCUUGGGAGCCAUCUCCUUGAAGUGUAAUUGUUGGCUGGGUGCGGUGGCUCACGCCUGCAAUCCCAGCACUUUGGGAGGCUGAGGCGGGCGGAUCACAAGAUCAAGAGAUCGAGACCAUCCUGGCCAACAUGGUGAAACUCUGUCCCUACUAAAAAUACAAAAAUUAGCUGGGCAUGGUGAAGCGUGCCUGUAGUACCAGCUACUCGGGAGGCUGAGGCAGGAGAAUCGCUUGAACCCGGGAGGCGGAGGUUGCAGUGAGCCGACAUAGCACCACUGCACUCCAGCCUGGAGACAGAGCGAGACUCUGUCUCAAAAACAAAGAAAGAAAAAAAUGCAAUUGUUAAGGGACGAAAGGGCCAAGAGUCCAGCUUCUUAGGAGGACAAAGGCUUAACUUGGCACCUGACUCCAAAUUGCAAAACCUACAUAAUGUGAUGGGCUAUCUCUACUUAGCUGCAUAGAAAAAGUGAGUUUCUGUCUUUGUGUUGCCUUUAGCAGGUUGCAUGUGAUGUACGGCAUCACAAUCUGGUUUAAUACUUAUUCAGUAAUGGUUUUCUGUCUCUUCUACCUUUGUGGAGAGGUUUCAUGGGUUGGGAGGAAACUACUCUCCACCCCCCACCCACCCCCAGGCAGAGGAAAGCACAUUGAAAGGUCCUGAAAUUGGGAAGGACAUGGUUUGCUGGUGAUACAGCUAAGUAUUACAAGUUUGUAGUGUUCUGGAAGGGUCUCAAUGAGGAGCGGGAGAUAAGGACGAUGUGUUCAAGGGUCUUGAAUGAUCAGGCUAGAAAAGUGAGAACGUGGUUCUAUAAGUAAAAGCAGAGCAGUGCUUGAAACUCGUAUUUUAUGUAUUGCACCUAGUAAAUACAUUCAAUCACUUUACAGUAUACAAAUCCCAUACUUCACUAAGUGUCAAAACCCUAACAGACAGAUAAGGCAGAACUGUUACUUCCAGAUUACUAACGUGGAAACUAAGCCCCACCCAAACAAGUUAAGUGGUUUGUUCAAGACCUCCUACAACAGGCUGGGCGCGGUGGCUUAUGCCUGUCAUCCCAGCACUUUGGGAGGCCGAGGCGGGGAGGCGGGUGGAUCACCUGAGGUCAGGAAUUUGGGGCUAGCCUGACUGACAUGGAGAAACCCGGUCUCUACUAAAAAUACAAAAUGAGCCGGGCGUGGUGGUGCCUGCCUGUAAUCCCAGCUACUUGGGAGGCUGAGGCAGGAGAAUUGCUUGAACCCAGGGGGCGGAGGUUGCGGUGAGCCGAGAUCGCGCCAUUGCACUCUAGCCUGGACAACAAGAGUGAAACUCCAUCUCAAAAAAAAAAAAAAAAAAAAGGACCUCCUACAACAGCCAGGGCCUGGUGCAGGUUGUCCUAGCACAGGGUUCACUGGUCUGUCCAUUCUGCCACUGCUAUGAGAUUGUAAUGGCCCAACAGGUUCACCUUGCCUGCUGCCUAGGCAGAACCAAUUUAUCAAGACAGGUGAAUUGCAAUAGAGAAAGAAUAAUUCAUGCAGAGCCAGCUGUGUGGGAAACUGGGACUUUUUUUAUUACUCAAAUGAGUCUCCCCAAGCAUUUGGAGGUCACAGUUUUUAAGGAUAAUUUGGAGGGUGGGUGGCAUCCAGUGAGUCAGGAGUGCUGAUUGAUCGGGUCAGAGAUGAAAUCAUAGGGAAUUGAAGCUGUCUUGUGCUUGAGUCAGUUCCUGGGUGGGGGCCACAAGAUCUGAUGAGCCAGUUUAUCGAUCUGGGUGGUGCCAGCUGAUCCAUCCAGUGCGAGGUCUGCAAAAUAUCUCAAGCACUGAUCUUAGACUUCAGUGAUGUUAUUCCCGGGAGCAAUUUGGGGAGGGUCAGAAUCCUGUAGCCUCUAGCUGCAUGACUCCUAAAUCAUAAUUUCUAAUCUUUUGGCUAAUUUGUUACUCCUACAAAGGCAUUCUGGUCCCCAGGCAAGAUGGGGGUUUGUUUUGGGAAAGGGCUAUUAUUGUCUUUCUUUUAAACUAUAAACUAAGUUCCUCCCAAAGUUAGUUCAGCCUACACUCAGGAAUGAACAAGGACAGCUUGGAAGUUAGAAGCAAGAUGGAGUUGGUUCGGUCAGAUCUCUGUCACUGUCUCAGUUAUAAUUUUGCAAUGGUGGUUUCAAGAUGAUGAAAGAGUACUGGGAAAGUAAAUAGCUACGAAGGGCCAGAGAAGGUGUGUUACUGAAGAAAGUGGGAUCUCCCAAGGGACUCAAAGAGAAGAGCUUUUUAACACAGUGAUAACCCCAAAAAAUUCACUAGAGAAGUGGGGGAUGCGGCCAGGCGCGGUGGCUCACACCUGUAUUCCCAGCACUUUGGGAGGCUGAGGUGAGCGGAUCACCUGAGGUCAGGAGUUCCAAGACCAGCGUGGCCAACAUGGUGAAACCCCGUCUCUACUAAAAAUACAAAAAUUAGCUGGGUGUGGUAGUGCAUGCCUGCGGUCCCAGCUACUCAGGAGGCUGAGGCAGGGGAAUCGCUUGAACUCAGGAGGUGGAGGUUGCAGUAAGCCGAGAUGGCGCCACUGUACUCCAGCCUGGGUGACACAGCGAGACUCCAGCUCAAAAACAAACAACAAAGAGCCAGGCGUGGUGGCUCACACCUGUAAUCCCAAUACUUUGGAAGGCAGGUUAGGAGUUCAAGAGCAGGCUGGCCAACAUGGUGAAACGCCAUCUCUACUAAAAAUACAAAAAAUUAGCCGGGCAUGGUAGCACACGCCUGUGAUCCCAGCUACUUGGGAGGCUGAGGCAGGAGAAUUGCUUGAACCUGGGAGGCAGAGGUUGCUUGAACCCAGGAGGCAAAGCCAAGUUUGUGCCAUUGCACUCCAGCCUGGGCAAUAGAGUGAGACUCUGUCUCAGAAAAAAAAGAGAAGGGGAGAUGCUUACUUAUUAUCAAAGUAAUUAGAGGCCAGACAUCGUGGCCUGUAAUCCCAGCACUUCAGGAGGCUCAGACAGGAGGAUUGCUUUAGCCCAGGAGUUCAAGACCAGCUUGAGCAACAUCACAAAACCCGUCUCUACAAAAAGUUUAAAAAUUAGCCAGUCAUGGUGGCGUCCGCUGAUAGUCCCAGCUACUCAGGAGGCUGAGGUGGUGGGAAGAUCACUUGAGCCCCAGAGGUUGAGGCUGCAAUGAGCUGUGAUUAUGCCAAUGCAUUCCAGCUUGGGUGACACACCCAGACCCCGUCUCAAAAACAAAACAAAAAAAACAAAAUCUGAAAGGAUGCCAAAACAUAAAAAUCACAUUAUCAGUUUAAUUGUGAUUUUGCUGGGAAACUGCAUGAGACUGGCACAAAGAGAGAAACAUGACAGCAGUAUUUUAACUGCUUAUCAGAAUACUAAAAAUAACUUUCUUCAAACCCACAUCUCAAAUGAGUAAUUCCAUUGUUCUUCCAGGCCAACUAGUGACGCACGAUAUUUUUCUUCUUAGUUCAGCUAAAAUCUGGGCUCUUGUCUCCCGAUCAGGAAAAAUUAGGCACAUGGACACAUUGAAGGGUCAGAAUGUAUUAAGUGAAAAGAAAGCCCUUAGCAAAGAGGUGGUCCUGCCAACAGGCUCCUACUCCACAGACUGAAUAUCAGGCCACCAUACUGGAGCUGAAGAAGCCCGGCUCCCCUGCAUAAAGCAUGAAUUCCUGGUGGCUCCACCCCAUUUCCCCAGUGCACAUGUAGGCCUCUAAUCUGAGCCACUCCACACUGAUUUAUUUCCCUUACUGCACAUGUGUUAAGGGAUAGAAUUUUUCACUGUAGGCAUGUUUAGGCAAGCCCCCUGUGCAUAAUGACCUGGAUGGCAUUUGGCUGUCUCCCGCCUCUAUCAGUAGCAUAUUUAGGGGAGGAAAGAUGAAUUUUCUUGCUACCCUUCUAAAUUCUCAGCUAGAGUCCUUGUAACAAAAGAUAGAUUUUUUUUUUUUGAGACAGGGUCUCACUGUGUCUCCCAGGCUAGAGCACAGUGGUGCUAUCAUGGCUCACUGCAACCUCCACACCCCCAGGCUCAAGUGAUCCUCCCAUCUCAGCC
rnacentral:lncRNA from 1 species